rnacentral:rRNA from 1 species
CAAUACUGUGGGUGGCGAGUGGCGGACGGGUGAGUAAUGCAUCGGGACCUGCCCAGACGUGGGGGAUAACGUAGGGAAACUUACGCUAAUACCGCAUACGUCCUACGGGAGAAAGCGGGGGAUCGAAAGACCUCGCGCGGUUGGAUGGACCGAUGUUCGAUUAGCUAGUUGGUGAGGUAAUGGCUCACCAAGGCGACGAUCGAUAGCUGGUCUGAGAGGAUGAUCAGCCACACUGGGACUGAGACACGGCCCAGACUCCUACGGGAGGCAGCAGUGGGGAAUAUUGGACAAUGGGCGCAAGCCUGAUCCAGCAAUGCCGCGUGUGUGAAGAAGGCCUUCGGGUUGUAAAGCACUUUUAUCAGGAGCGAAAUACCACGGGUUAAUACCCUAUGGGGCUGACGGUACCUGAGGAAUAAGCACCGGCUAACUUCGUGCCAGCAGCCGCGGUAAUACGAAGGGUGCAAGCGUUAAUCGGAAUUACUGGGCGUAAAGGGUGCGUAGGCGGUUCGUUAAGUCUGUUGUGAAAUCCCCGGGCUCAACCUGGGAAUGGCAAUGGAUACUGGCGAGCUAGAGUGUGAUAGAGGAUGGUGGAAUUCCCGGUGUAGCGGUGAAAUGCGUAGAGAUCGGGAGGAACAUCAGUGGCGAAGGCGGCCAUCUGGAUCAACACUGAC